AUGUGGGACGUUGGGAAGGUCAAGGCCAAGGACGCCGUGCAGUUACUCGAGGCUGAAGGUGGAACGAACAUCCUCAAGGGCCUCACCGAGGCUGCCAAAGUGCUCGACGGCCGACGGCACAAGAACGCCGUGGUCAGCGUCAUCCUUCUCUCGGACGGCCAGGACACGUACAAUCUCGAUCUUGGAGGUUACGGUUACAGCUCCUACCAGACAAACUACCGUGGUCUCGUGCCAAGCUCCUUGCUAAGCGGUGCCGGCCACCGAUCGACGCCGAUACACACGUUCGGCUUUGGCGUCGACCACGACUCGUCAGCCAUGCACACGAUCGCCGAGGAGACCGGCGGCACGUUCUCCUUCAUCGAGGACGAGAAGGUGGUGCAGGACUCGUUCGCGCAGUGCAUCGGCGGGCUCCUCUCCGUGGUCGUGCAGGAGGCGCUGAUCACCGUCAAGUGCGUGGACCCGGUGCGCGUCCGUGCAGUCAAGUCCGGCCGCUACAACACCAGCAUCGACGCGUACGGGCGCUCCGCCUCGGUGGACGUCGGCGAGCUCUACGCGGACGAGGAAAGGCGCUUCCUGCUCCUGGUAGACGUGCCGAGGGCCGGCGACGCGGACGACGUGACGCAGCUCGUGAAGGUGACCUGCACCUACCGCGACACGGCGACCGGGCAGGUGCUGGACGUGGCAGGGGAGAACGUGGCGGUGCAGAGGCCGGUGGAGCUGGCCAAGGACCAGCAGCCGUCCAUGGACGUGGCGCGGGAGAAAUUCCGCGUGGAGGCGACGGAGGACAUCGCGGCGGCGCGCGCGGCCGCGGAGCGCGGCGAGUACACGGAGGCCGCGAGGAUACUGGAGCGCAGGCGGGAGGCGCUCCUGCCGGCGCUGGCCGACGACGCGAGGUGCAAGGCACUGGUGGAGGAGCUGCGGGAGCUGAGCACCCGCGUGGCCAGCCGGCGGGAGUACGAGAAGUCGGGGCGCGCGUGCAUCCUGACCGGCUACAGCUCCCACGCGCAGCAGCGCGCCGCGUCAGCCUUCGUGGCCGGUGCCGAGGGGUACGGCUGUCCCCAGCCGGGCGGGGCGGCUCCGGGCGCGGCGCCGUCGAUUCUUGGUUUUGGCGCGGCUGGGGCGUACGCGACGCCGGCGAUGCAGAGGAUGGUUGGCGCGUCGAGGCAAAUACGUGAGCAGCAGCAGCAGCCGGCGACCUCCAAGAGGAAGAGCGGAAGCAAUGGCGGUGCCUACUAA
rnacentral:rRNA from 1 species